rnacentral:misc_RNA from 1 species
UCACCCCUCAAGCCCCCGUGGUUUGGUGUUGGACGGUUGGCCUUUUCACCGGGGCCCCUCCCAAAGUUAAUGACGGCGGCCUGUCGGACCCCCGGUACACUGAGCUUCUUCAUUGAGCACGUAUCGGUAUUUUGUGGUUGGCAGCUUCCGGUCUCUGUGUUCCCGUCAUGGGACACCCUUUUUUCAA